GCACUAGUAGCUUAACAUAAAAGCGUCGGUCUUGUAAACCGGAAGAUGGAAGUUAAACCCUUCCCCACUGCU
rnacentral:tRNA from 1 species